GUGCUUGUUUCGGCAGCACAUAUACUAAAAUUGGAACGAUACAGAGAAGAUUAGCAUGGACAUGUAAAAUAAAAGUUACAUGAUGCCUCUGUUU
rnacentral:snRNA from 1 species